rnacentral:rRNA from 1 species
AUUGAACGCUGGCGGCAUGCCUAACACAUGCAAGUCGAACGGCAGCACGAUGUGUAGCAAUACACAUGGGUGGCGAGUGGCGGACGGGUGAGUAGAAAGUAGGGAUCUGCCUUAUAGAUUUGGGAUAACUUGGGGAAACUCGAGCUAAUACCGGAUAAGCACUACGGUGGAAAGCAUGGGACCGAAAGGCCAUGCGCUAUAAGAUGAACCUACGUCGGAUUAGCUAGUUGGUUAGGUAAAGGCUGACCAAGGCGAAGAUCCGUAGCUGGUCUGAGAGGAUGAUCAGCCACACUGGGACUGAGACACGGCCCAGACUCCUACGGGAGGCAGCAGUGGGGAAUAUUGGACAAAU